AUUGAACGCUGGCGGCAGGCCUAACACAUGCAAGUCGAACGAGUGGCGGACGGGUGAGUAAUGUCUGGGAAACUGCCUGAUGGAGGGGGAUAACUACUGGAAACGGUAGCUAAUACCGCAUACCAUCGGAUGUGCCCAGAUGGGAUUAGCUAGUUGGUGGGGUAAAGGCUCACCUGGGCGACGAUCCAUAGCUGGUUUGAGAGGAUGACCUGCACCACUGGAACUGAGCAACGGUCCAGACUCCUACGGGUGGCGGCGUAGGGAAAUAUUGGAAAAUUGGCGCAAGCCUGCUGCAGCCCUGCCGCGUGUUGGAGGAGGGCCUUCGGGUUGUAAAGUACUUUCAGAGGGGAGGCGGUACCUGCAGAAGAAGCGCCGGCUAACUCCGUGCCAGCCGCCGCGGUAAUUC
rnacentral:rRNA from 1 species